UACGUAGGUGGCAAGCGUUGUCCGGAUUUACUGGGCGUAAAGAGCGCGCAGGCGGUCGUUCAAGUCGCGUGUGAAAGCCCCCGGCUCAACUGGGGAGGGUCACGCGAUACUGAUCGACUCGAAGGCAGGAGAGGGUAGUGGAAUUCCCGGUGUAGUGGUGAAAUGCGUAGAUAUCUGGAGGAAUACCGGUGGCGAAGGCGGGUAACUGGCCCAACACUGACACUGAUGCCCGAAAGCGUGGGGAUCAAACAGG
rnacentral:rRNA from 1 species